GACGAACGCUGGCGGCGUGCUUAACACAUGCAAGUCGAACGGAAAGGCCCUGCUUUUGUGGGGUGCUCGAGUGGCGAACGGGUGAGUAACACGUGAGUAACCUGCCCUUGACUUUGGGAUAACUUCAGGAAACUGGGGCUAAUACCGGAUAGGAGCUCCUGCUGCAUGGUGGGGGUUGGAAAGUUUCGGCGGUUGGGGAUGGACUCGCGGCUUAUCAGCUUGUUGGUGGGGUAGUGGCUUACCAAGGCUUUGACGGGUAGCCGGCCUGAGAGGGUGACCGGCCACAUUGGGACUGAGAUACGACCCAGACUCCUACGGGAGGCAGCAGUGGGGAAUAUUGCACAAUGGGCGGAAGCCUGAUGCAGCAACGCCGCGUGCGGGAUGACGGCAUUCGGGUUGUAAACCGCUUUCGCCUGUGACGAAGCGUGAGUGACGGUAAUGGGUAAAGAAGCACCGGCUAACUACGUG
rnacentral:rRNA from 1 species